GGUUAAGCGACUAAGCGUACACGGUGGAUGCCCUGGCAGUCAGAGGCGAUGAAGGGCGUGCUAAUCUGCGAUAAGCGCCGGUAAGGUGAUAUGAACCGUUAUAACCGGCGAUACCCGAAUGGGGAAACCCAGUGUGAUUCGUCACACUAUCAUUAACUGAAUCCAUAGGUUAAUGAGGCGAACCGGGGGAACUGAAACAUCUAAGUACCCCGAGGAAAAGAAAUCAACCGAGAUUCCCCCAGUAGCGGCGAGCGAACGGGGAGGAGCCCAGAGCCUGAAUCAGCAUGUGUGUUAGUGGAAGCGUCUGGAAAGGCGCGCGAUACAGGGUGACAGCCCCGUACACAAAAGCGCAUGUGCUGUGAGCUCGAUGAGUAGGGCGGGACACGUGGUAUCCUGUCUGAAUAUGGGGGGACCAUCCUCCAAGGCUAAAUACUCCUGACUGACCGAUAGUGAACCAGUACCGUGAGGGAAAGGCGAAAAGAACCCCGGCGAGGGGAGUGAAAAAGAACCUGAAACCGUGUACGUACAAGCAGUGGGAGCACCCUUUGGGGUGUGACUGCGUACCUUUUGUAUAAUGGGUCAGCGACUUAUAUUCUGUAGCAAGGUUAACCGUAUAGGGGAGCCGGAGGGAAACCGAGUCUUAAUUGGGCGUUAAGUUGCAGGGUAUAGACCCGAAACCCGGUGAUCUAGCCAUGGGCAGGUUGAAGGUUGGGUAACACUAACUGGAGGACCGAACCGACUAAUGUUGAAAAAUUAGCGGAUGACCUGUGGCUGGGGGUGAAAGGCCAAUCAAACCGGGAGAUAGCUGGUUCUCCCCGAAAGCUAUUUAGGUAGCGCCUCGUGAAUUCAUCUCCGGGGGUAGAGCACUGUUUCGGCUAGGGGGCCAUCCCGGCUUACCAACCCGAUGCAAACUGCGAAUACCGGAGAAUGUUAUCACGGGAGACACACGGCGGGUGCUAACGUCCGUCGUGAAGAGGGAAACAACCCAGACCGCCAGCUAAGGUCCCAAAGUCAUGGUUAAGUGGGAAACGAUGUGGGAAGGCCCAGACAGCCAGGAUGUUGGCUUAGAAGCAGCCAUCAUUUAAAGAAAGCGUAAUAGCUCACUGGUCGAGUCGGCCUGCGCGGAAGAUGUAACGGGGCUAAACCAUGCACCGAAGCUGCGGCAGCGACACUAUGUGUUGUUGGGUAGGGGAGCGUUCUGUAAGCCUGUGAAGGUGUGUCGUGAGGCAUGCUGGAGGUAUCAGAAGUGCGAAUGCUGACAUAAGUAACGAUAAAGCGGGUGAAAAGCCCGCUCGCCGGAAGACCAAGGGUUCCUGUCCAACGUUAAUCGGGGCAGGGUGAGUCGACCCCUAAGGCGAGGCCGAAAGGCGUAGUCGAUGGGAAACGGGUUAAUAUUCCCGUACUUGGUGUUACUGCGAAGGGGGGACGGAGAAGGCUAUGUUGGCCGGGCGACGGUUGUCCCGGUUUAAGCGUGUAGGUGUGUGUUCCAGGUAAAUCCGGUUCACUUUAACACUGAGGCGUGAUGACGAGGCACUACGGUGCUGAAGCAACAAAUGCCCUGCUUCCAGGAAAAGCCUCUAAGCAUCAGGUAACAUCAAAUCGUACCCCAAACCGACACAGGUGGUCAGGUAGAGAAUACCAAGGCGCUUGAGAGAACUCGGGUGAAGGAACUAGGCAAAAUGGUGCCGUAACUUCGGGAGAAGGCACGCUGACACGUAGGUGAAGUGAUUUACUCACGGAGCUGAAGUCAGUCGAAGAUACCAGCUGGCUGCAACUGUUUAUUAAAAACACAGCACUGUGCAAACACGAAAGUGGACGUAUACGGUGUGACGCCUGCCCGGUGCCGGAAGGUUAAUUGAUGGGGUCAGCGCAAGCGAAGCUCCUGAUCGAAGCCCCGGUAAACGGCGGCCGUAACUAUAACGGUCCUAAGGUAGCGAAAUUCCUUGUCGGGUAAGUUCCGACCUGCACGAAUGGCGUAAUGAUGGCCAGGCUGUCUCCACCCGAGACUCAGUGAAAUUGAACUCGCUGUGAAGAUGCAGUGUACCCGCGGCAAGACGGAAAGACCCCGUGAACCUUUACUAUAGCUUGACACUGAACAUUGAGCCUUGAUGUGUAGGAUAGGUGGGAGGCUUUGAAGUGUGGACGCCAGUCUGCAUGGAGCCGACCUUGAAAUACCACCCUUUAAUGUUUGAUGUUCUAACGUGGACCCGUAAUCCGGGUUGCGGACAGUGUCUGGUGGGUAGUUUGACUGGGGCGGUCUCCUCCUAAAGAGUAACGGAGGAGCACGAAGGUUGGCUAAUCCUGGUCGGACAUCAGGAGGUUAGUGCAAUGGCAUAAGCCAGCUUGACUGCGAGCGUGACGGCGCGAGCAGGUGCGAAAGCAGGUCAUAGUGAUCCGGUGGUUCUGAAUGGAAGGGCCAUCGCUCAACGGAUAAAAGGUACUCCGGGGAUAACAGGCUGAUACCGCCCAAGAGUUCAUAUCGACGGCGGUGUUUGGCACCUCGAUGUCGGCUCAUCACAUCCUGGGGCUGAAGUAGGUCCCAAGGGUAUGGCUGUUCGCCAUUUAAAGUGGUACGCGAGCUGGGUUUAGAACGUCGUGAGACAGUUCGGUCCCUAUCUGCCGUGGGCGCUGGAGAACUGAGGGGGGCUGCUCCUAGUACGAGAGGACCGGAGUGGACGCAUCACUGGUGUUCGGGUUGUCAUGCCAAUGGCACUGCCCGGUAGCUAAAUGCGGAAGAGAUAAGUGCUGAAAGCAUCUAAGCACGAAACUUGCCCCGAGAUGAGUUCUCCCUGAGACUUAGAGUCUCCUGAAGGAACGUUGAAGACGACGACGUUGAUAGGCCGGGUGUGUAAGCGCAGCGAUGCGUUGAGCUAACCGGUACUAAUGAACCGUGAGGCUUAACCUU
rnacentral:rRNA from 1 species